CCUACGGGAGGCAGCAGUGGGGAAUAUUGCACAAUGGGCGAAAGCCUGACCCAGCAACGCCGCGUGAAGGAAGAAGGCUUUCGGGUUGUAAACUUCUUUUGUCAGGGAAGAGUAGAAGACGGUACCUGACGAAUAAGCCACGGCUAACUACGUGCCAGCAGCCGCGGUAAUACGUAGGUGGCAAGCGUUGUCCGGAUUUACUGGGUGUAAAGGGCGUGUAGCCGGGUUGACAAGUCAGAUGUGAAAUCCUGCGGCUUAACCGCAGAACUGCAUUUGAAACUGUUGAUCUUGAGUACUGGAGAGGCAGACGGAAUUCCUAGUGUAGCGGUGAAAUGCGUAGAUAUUAGGAGGAACACCAGUGGCGAAGGCGGUCUGCUGGACAGCAACUGACGGUGAGGCGUGAAAGCGUGGGGAGCAAACAGGAUUAGAUACCCUUGUAGUC
rnacentral:rRNA from 1 species